AUUUCCCCAAUGGGUUCUCCGGAUUUCUGGAGACUUGUAGGGGUUGUGGGAUUUUUGAUGUGUCGUCUCCGGACGGGCGGUGCAGGGUAGUCGAGUUAGACUUGGUGGAAUUCCGUCGAUAGGAGUUCCGUCGAGUCUGGUCGGCUGUGUGUUGGACGGUGUAGGGUAGGCUGCUUGGACAUGGUCGGUUCGAGGAUCGAUUCGAGGGCCGGCCUGUCGAUGAUGUGUGAUGUAUGCGGUCUAGGGUAGGUUGGUUUGUCUUGGUUCGAUUUGAUGUCGGCUCCCGUGCAGGCCAGAGUGAGGGGGGUCCAGGGUAGGUGCAGGGUAGGCAGCUUAGAUUUGGUCGAUCUGGAGGUCGAUUCUCCGGCUGGCGGAUCUGACACUGUCGAAACGAGAUGCGAGGGGUGUAGGGUAGGCUAAGUUUCGUACUUGCCAGGUUGCGAUUUGGACGAGAUAUGUGGUUUAGGGUAGGCUCUAGGGUAAGUAGAAUUCGAGUUUCGUCGCCGAUAGUUUUCUGUGGGUGUAUGGUAGGUACAGGGUAGGCAAAUCUCUCUCCGGCCAGUACUUGUCUCGUGGUCGUGAGUCGAUUUUUUUGUUUU
rnacentral:misc_RNA from 1 species